AUGAACGCUGGCGGCGUGCCUAAUACAUGCAAGUCGAGCGAACAGACGAGGAGCUUGCUCCUCUGACGUUAGCGGCGGACGGGUGAGUAACACGUGGAUAACCUACCUAUAAGACUGGGAUAACUUCGGGAAACCGGAGCUAAUACCGGAUAAUAUAUUGAACCGCAUGGUUCAAUAGUGAAAGACGGUUUUGCUGUCACUUAUAGAUGGAUCCGCGCCGCAUUAGCUAGUUGGUAAGGUAACGGCUUACCAAGGCAACGAUGCGUAGCCGACCUGAGAGGGCGGCCGACCACAAAGGGUGGACGCGCACGCACAGGAGCAAGGGCGCGGGCGAGGAAGGGGAGCGUCCGCGAGGGGAGAGAGAGGGCGGGAGCAACGUGGGUGUGGUGAGGCAGGUCGGGAUGUCAUACCACAUUGUUAAGAGAGAAGAACAAAUGUGUAAGUAUCUACGCACGUAUUGACGGAACAAAAUAAAAAAGCCACGGCGAACUACGGGCCAGCAGCGCGGGAAUGAUCGAGUAGCACCCGCCUGAUC
rnacentral:rRNA from 1 species